rnacentral:rRNA from 1 species
AUACGGAGGGGGCUAGCGUUGUUCGGAAUUACUGGGCGUAAAGCGUACGUAGGCGGACUGAUCAGUUGGGGGUGAAAUCCCAGGGCUUAACCCUGGAACUGCCUUCAAUACUGUCAGUCUUGAGUAUGGGAGAGGUGAGUGGAAUUCCUAGUGUAGAGGUGAAAUUUAUAGAUAUUAGGAGGAACACCAGUGGCGAAGGCGGCUCACUGGCCCAUUACUGACGCUGAGGUACGAAAGCGUGGGGAGCAAACAGGAUUAGAUACCCUAGUAGUCC